rnacentral:rRNA from 1 species
UACAGAGGUCUCAAGCGUUGUUCGGAUUCAUUGGGCGUAAAGGGUGCGUAGGUGGCGCGUUAAGUCAGGUGUGAAUUUCGGAGCUUAACUCCGAAACUGCAUUUGAUACUGGCGUGCUUGAGGACUGGAGAGGAGACUGGAAUUCAUGGUGUAGCAGUGAAAUGCGUAGAGAUUAUGAGGAAGACCAGUGGCGAAGGCGGGUCUCUGGACAGUUCCUGACACUGAGGCACGAAGGCCAGGGGAGCAAACGGG